rnacentral:lncRNA from 1 species
UCGGCAAGGAUCCCAUACUUCCAUCCGGGAUCACCACUACUUGGCCGUCUUGUCUUGUCUGUCAACCAUUCCGGAUUAAUGGAAUGGUGGUAUACUAAAGUAUUGUCUUCUACGGCCUGAGUAUCUGCUACUGCCGGAGGAUCCGCUACUGCCGGAGGAUCCGCUACUGCCGGAGGUGGAGGCGGAGUAGGCAUAGGUUCGCAAGGUGUUUCUUCGUCUGAAGCACCUUGCGUAGCGUCGUCGUCGCUGCUGGUGUCAUUAAGAUCGUUAGCGACGACGUAUUCCUCAUCACUAGACAUUAG